rnacentral:lncRNA from 1 species
GGCCACUGGUGGCCAUCGUUGGGCUACUGGUGGCCAUCGGUUGAGCGUUGGUCAUCGUUGGGCCACUAUUGACCACCGUUGGGCCACUAUUGGCCAUCAGUUGAGCGUUGGCCACCAAUUGACCACUAUUGGCCACCAAUUGACCACUAUUGAUCAUCACUGGGCCACUAUUGACCACCGUUGGGCCACUAUUGGCCAUCGUUGGGCCACUAUUGGCCAUUUUUGGGCCACUAUUGGCCAUCAGUUGAGCGUUGGCCACCGAUUGACCACUAUUGGCCACCAAUUGACCACUAUUGACCCCCGAUUGACCACUAUUGACCCCCGAUCGGCCAUCAUUGCCCCCCCCCUCCCCGUUGCCCCCCGCUUGCCCCCCCUUGCCCCCUACUUGCCCGUUGGCCCCCGGUAGCCCCCCGUGGGCCACCGCUAGCCCCCCGACCUCCUCCACCUCCCCCCCUCCACCCGACGCCGCGUCCGGUUGCUGAAAUCUUCCGCCCCCAACCCGCGACCCCUCGGUGGCCACCUGCGACCCCUCGGUGGCCACCUGGACCCCCUCGGUGGCCACUUGGGGGUCCCGGGCCACUUGGGGGUCCCGGGUGGCCACUUGGGGGUCCCGGGCCACUUGGGGGUCCCGGGUGGCCACUUGGGGGUCCCGGGUGGCCACUUGGGGGCUCUUUUGGCGGUGCCGGUGGAGGUGAACUUUGAGGUUGCCCCGGGUGGCGAAACGGUUGCCACAAACGCCGCAGCCGUAGGGCCGCUCGCCCCCGCAGCCGUGCCUAAAAACCCCGGAAUUCACCCCAAAAAUAUUUAGGGGUCGCACGGGGGGUCCCGGGGGGUCGCCCGGCAACGGGGCGGAUUCGGGGGUUCGGCCACGCGGGGCCGGCGCCAAGCGGUAGGGGGCGGCGAAAAAAACCGCCGCCUGCUCCGUUUUGGGGGGAAAAAAGGGGAAAAUGGGUUUUGGGAGAGGGUUUUGGGGUUUUUUUGGGCGCGGGGGGUGGGUUUUCGGGGGGCCCGGCGCCCCCAAAAGGAGGAGGUGGCGGCAAAUUUCUUGGGUGAGCUGCAUCUGGCGGAGCUGGCGCUGCCGCAAAACCCGCAGCUCCUCCAAAAGGAGGGGGAUGUCGAGGUU